CUGAGACACGGCCCAGACUCCUACGGGAGGCAGCAGUGGGGAAUAUUGGACAAUGGGCGCAAGCCUGAUCCAGCAAUGCCGCGUGUGUGAAGAAGGCCUUCGGGUUGUAAAGCACUUUUGUUAGGGAGGAAAGUCUUGUAGCUAAUAACUGCGAGAUAUGACGUUACCUAAAGAAUCAGCACCGGCUAACUCUGUGCCAGCAGCCGCGGUAAUACAGAGGGUGCAAGCGUUAAUCGGAAUUACUGGGCGUAAAGGGUCUGUAGGCGGAUUAUUAAGUCGGAUGUGAAAUCCCCGGGCUCAACCUGGGAACGGCAUUCGAUACUGGUAGUCUAGAGUGUGCAAGAGGAUGGGGGAAUUCCUGGUGUAGCAGUGAAAUGCGUAGAGAUCAGGAGGAACAUCAAUGGCGAAGGCACCUUUCUGGGGCAACACUGACGCUGAGAGACGAAAGCGUGGGGAGCAAACAGGAUUAGAUACCCUGGUAGUCCACGCCCUAAACGAUGUCAACUAACUGUUCGGAGUCACUAAGAUUCUGAGUAGUGAAGCUAACGCGAUAAGUUGACCGCCUGGGGAGUACGGCCGCAAGGUUGAAACUCAAAGAAAUUGACGGGGGCCCGCACAAGCGGUGGAGUAUGUGGUUUAAUUCGAUGCAACGCGAAGAACCUUACCCGGUCUUGACAUGGUAGGAAUCUUGUAGAGAUACGAGAGUGCCUUCGGGAACCUACACACAGGUGCUGCACGGCUGUCGUCAGCUCGUGUCGUGAGAUGUUGGGUUAAGUCCCGCAACGAGCGCAACCCUUGCCCUUAGUUACCAUCAUUUAGUUGGGGACUCUAAGGGGACUGCCGGUGAUAAACCGGAGGAAGGUGGGGACGACGUCAAGUCAUCAUGGCCCUUAUGACCGGGGCUACACACGUACUACAAUGGUCGGUACAGACGGUCGCAAGCUCGCGAGAGUAAGCUAAUCCGAGAAAACCGAUCGUAGUCCGGAUCGCAGUCUGCAACUCGACUGCGUGAAGUCGGAAUCGCUAGUAAUCGCAAAUCAGAAUGUUGCGGUGAAUACGUUCCCGGGCCUUGUACACACCGCCCGUCACACCAUGGGAGUUUGUUGCAAAAGAAGUAGGUAGCUUAACCGCAAGGAGGGCGCUUACCACUUUGUGGCCGAUGACUGGGGUGAAGUCGUAACAAGGUAGCCGUAUCGGAAGGUGCGGCUGGAUCACCUCCUUUAAGACU
rnacentral:rRNA from 1 species